GCUGGGCAUGGUGGUGUGUGCCUGUAAUCCCAGCUACUUGGGAGGCUGAGGCAGGAGAAUCGCUUGAACUUGGGAGGCAGAGGUUGCUGUGAGCCAAGAUUGCGCCACUCACUCUAGCCUGAGUGACAGAGCGAGAUUCUGCCUCAA
rfam:Homo sapiens chromosome 9, GRCh38 reference primary assembly.